AUUGAACGCUAGCGGGAUGCCUUACACAUGCAAGUCGAACGGCAGCGCGGACUUCGGUCUGGUGGCGAGUGGCGAACGGGUGAGUAAUACAUCGGAACGUACCUUAUCGUGGGGGAUAACGCAGCGAAAGUUGCGCUAAUACCGCAUACGCCCUGAGGGGGAAAGCGGGGGACCGUAAGGCCUCGCGCGUUUAGAGCGGCCGAUGUCUGAUUAGCUUGUUGGUGAGGUAAAAGCUCACCAAGGCGAUGAUCAGUAGCUGGUCUGAAAGGACGAUCAGCCACACUGGGACUGAGACACGGCCCAGACUCCUACGGGAGGCAGCAGUGGGGAAUUUUGGACAAUGGGGGCAACCCUGAUCCAGCAAUGCCGCGUGAGUGAAGAAGGCCUUCGGGUUGUAAAGCUCUUUUGUCAGGGAAGAAACAGCAGCUCUAACACAGUCUGCGAAUGACGGUACCUGAAGAAUAAGCACCGGCUAACUACGUGCCAGCAGCCGCGGUAA
rnacentral:rRNA from 1 species